UGUGGUAGGAAGAGCCUGGAAGAUUAAUUUGGCUAGAGAACAGAAUGUAAAUGUUACAACUUUGACAACAUAAACACGUAGUUGACAAAAGAUGGGACUGAGAGGGCAAAGAUACACAUGUUAAUAUCUGUCUUCUUACAAAGUAGUCAACAGAUUGUUGAAAGUAGAUGGAGCAAGAAAUAGAGGUUUAAGUCUAUCACUGAAAAUUACAAGUGUAAUUAAUAAAAUUAAUAAUAACAUAAAUAUUAAACACUGGGAGAAGAGAAGAAAAGUAGUCAAUGUUAAAUUUUCAUCUUUCAGAGUAGAGAUUGGUCUUGGCUUGUGAAGUUGGGAUAAAAAGUAUUUUAUAUGCAUAAUACCUAGAGUUGUGGAGGAACCCACCAAAACACCUAGGCAGACCAUUCACAGAAGGUCAUCCAUGGGUAACUGCAGUACUUGCUAUAAUCCCAUGCUAUGUGGACUAGAUUGCUGAAGACAGAUCCCUAACCGAAGCACAACAUUCUGCAUUUUCCAUAUAUACUGGUUUCCCACGUCUUCACAUUUGGUUUAAUAAUCAAUACAAAGAAUUGCAAUUUCUAUAAUGUGUGUUGUUAGCAAAUAAUAUCUAUGGCACCUUAACUGUCAUUAUCCACAUCUGACAAGAAUUCAGGUGUCACUGGACACAUUUUCUCUUCAUGCCUUAUAAACAUUAAGAAUACAAGAAAGGUUACAUCCUUUAGAAUCAUGAAAACCCCAACUUACCACAGUAUUAUUCACAGUUUCCAGUGUGUUAUUUUACCUUCUGACAAGUUUUAUAAAGGAGAAGGGAAUAAAACUAACUUACAUUACAUACAAGAUGUUGCCUACAUAGAUGCCAGAAAGGGAAGCAAAUGAACAGCCAGAACAUAUGGCAGUGAGCUGACAGCAUAAAGAAACUAGUUCUGCAUGAGCAACAAGAAACAUCUUGAAAUGUUCAAGACAUAUGUGUUUUUAGGAAGAAGACUGAAGUGUUUCAUAAUAAAAACAGGACAAAGUGA